AGGAACAAGAGGAGAGGCUCGUGCCAGUCAGGGGCUGUGUCCCCUAGAUGCAUAUGUUGACAUCCUGACCCCCUCAGGAUGCGACUGUAUUUGGAGACUGGGCCUUUAAAGAGGUGGUCAAGGUAAAACGAGGCCCUUAGGGUGGGCCCUGAUCCAGUGUGACUGGUGCCCUCAUGAGAGAGGAGAUGAGGACACACACACGCACAGAGGUAAUACCAUGUGAGGACACAGGGGGAAGAUGACAGUGUCCAUACCCCAAGGAGAGAGGCAUCAGGAGGAACCAGCCCUGCUAACACCUUAAUCUCCAACUUCCAGCCUCCAGGACGGAGGAAGAACAUGUUUCUGUUGUUUAAGCCCCUGGUCUGUGGUAUUUGACUGACUGACACUGGAACCUGGGAGAAGGCCACACCCAGAGACCCUCCCAGGCUACCAGGGGCCUCGAUAGAAGCAGAGAAAUGAGGCCAUGGCCUGUGCAAGCCAAGAGAGCUGGGGAUACCUUCCUCGGUCCCCACCCCACUCCCAGGUGCUUUGCCAAUUUAAAACGGGACAAAUGGGAAGGAAGAAAGCCUUCGUGAGCAGAGAGGGAGAGCUGGAAGACGCAGAAGGCCACCAGGAGCCUGGGAACCACGGGCCCUGGGGGCUGGGUCCCCUCGCCUGCGGUCUCCACCACCGUGAACUUCAGCUAACGCACGUGAGAACAGCGCCAGCACCCGCUCCACUUCAUCUCUCUGGCCCGAUGCUGGCCCUCCUGAAGGCCUGUGUGGAAGGAGCGGUUAACCCCACGGGGCCCACCCGUGCCGUCAGCUCCGUGCCCUGCUCUCCACAGGUGCCUGCACCUCACUCCUGGGGGGAGUCGGCUCCAUGGAGCCAGAAGCAGCAAGGUGGAUAAAUUAUUUCUCCAGAUAAUAAAAGCAUCAGCAUUAACACAAACCUACCCACACACCCUCCCUUUGUCUCUAAGGCGCCUCCUCCUGUGGCCCACACUCAGCACCCCUGUGACCUCGGCCCUGACCUCGGGCUUGUCCUCAGAGGCCGCACGCCAGUGCUCAUGGUGCCCGGGCGGUCCACACUAGC
rnacentral:lncRNA from 1 species